GGCUCAGAACGAACGCUGGCGGCGUGCCUAACACAUGCAAGUCGAACGAGAAAGCUCCUUCGGGAGUGAGUAGAGUGGCGCACGGGUGAGUAACACGCAGGUGAUCUACCCUUAAGAGUGGGAUAACCCCGAGAAAUCGGAGCUAAUACCACGUACGAUCGGCAACUUUGGAAGGAGUCGAUGAAAGUAUGCCUCUGUUUCAUGCAUACGCUUGAGGAUGGGCCUGCGGGACAUUAGCUUGAUGGUGGGGUAAUGGCCUACCAUGGCGACGAUGUCUAGCGGAUCUGAGAGGAUGAUCCGCCACACUGGAACUGAGACACGGUCCAGACUCCUACGGGAGGCAGCAGUGGGGAAUAUUGCGCAAUGGGCGAAAGCCUGACGCAGCAACGCCGUGUGAGUGAGGAAGGCCUUCGGGUUGUAAAGCUCUGUCAAGGUGGAAGAAUGGCCAAGGUCCAAUAGGCCUUUGGUUUGAUGGUACACCUAAAGGAAGCACCGGCUAACUUCGUGCCAGCAGCCGCGGUAAUACGAAGGGUGCAAGCGUUGUUCGGAUUUAUUGGGCGUAAAGCGCGCGCAGGCGGAUUUGCAAGUCAGGUGUGAAAUCUCGGGGCUCAACCCCGAAACUGCGCCUGAAACUGCGGAUCUAGAAUAUUGGAGAGGGAAGAGGAAUUUCGCAUGUAGGGGUAAAAUCCGUAGAGAUGCGAAGGAACACCAGAGGUGAAAACGUCUUCCUGGACAAUCAUUGACGCUGAGGCGCGAAAGCGUGGGGAGCGAACAGGAUUAGAUACCCUGGUAGUCCACGCCGUAAACGAUGUGCACUAGAUAUUGCGAGGAUUGGCCCUUGCAGUGUUGUAGCUAACGCAUUAAGUGCACCGCCUGGGGAGUACGGUCGCAAGACUAAAACUCAAAGGAAUUGACGGGGGCCCGCACAAGCGGUGGAUCAUGUGGUUUAAUUCGAAGCAACGCGCAGGACCUUACCUAGGCUUGACAUCCCGAGAACCUGCCUUAAACGGCGGGGUGCCCGUAAGGGAAUUCGGAGACAGGCGCUGCAUGGCUGUCGUCAGCUCGUGUCGUGAGAUGUUGGGUUAAGUCUCGCAACGAGCGCAACCCCUGUUCUUAGUUGCCAGCAUUAAGUUGGGCACUCUAAGGAGACUGCCUGGGUUAACCAGGAGGAAGGUGGGGAUGACGUCAAGUCCUCAUGGCCCUUAUGCCUAGGGCUACACACGUGAUACAAUGGUCGGUAUAAAGGGAUGCGAACUCGCAAGGGGAAGCUAAUCUCAAAAAACCGAUCUCAGUCCGGAUUGGAAUCUGCAACUCGACUCCAUGAAGCUGGAAUCGCUAGUAAUCGCAGAUCAGAACGCUGCGGUGAUACGUUCCCGGGCCUUGUACACACCGCCCGUCACACCAUGGGAGCUGGUUUUACACUGAAGUCGUGGCCCUAACCUUUUGGGGGGGAGCGCCU
rnacentral:rRNA from 1 species